rnacentral:rRNA from 1 species
GACGUAGGGCGCGAGCGUUGUCCGGAUUUAUUGGGCGUAAAGAGCUCGUAGGCGGUUUGUCGCGUCUGCCGUGAAAGUCCGGGGCUCAACUCCGGAUCUGCGGUGGGUACGGGCAGACUAGAGUGAUGUAGGGGAGACUGGAAUUCCUGGUGUAGCGGUGAAAUGCGCAGAUAUCAGGAGGAACACCGAUGGCGAAGGCAGGUCUCUGGGCAUUAACUGACGCUGAGGAGCGAAAGCGUGGGGAGCGAACAGG